rfam:Proteiniphilum saccharofermentans isolate M3/6 genome assembly, chromosome: I
UGCCGCAUUGGUCGAUUGGGAAACUCAUCAAUUACAUUUUAUGAACCGAGACUCGUUUUUGGCAUCAAUGGCGGGCCGCAUCCUUCGGGAUUCCGGUUUUACCGGGACAGCGGAUUACAAAGAUACCGAGACACUCAAAUCCUGUCAUAAGGAGUUUCGUCUUAUUCCACCGGUGCGGCUUUUUAU